UCCUCCCUUCUCAGACUGAACUACCGAC
rnacentral:piRNA from 2 species